rnacentral:rRNA from 1 species
GACGAACGCUGGCGGCGUGCUUAACACAUGCAAGUCGAACGGUGAUGAUGGGAGCUUGCUCCUGUCGGAUCAGUGGCGAACGGGUGAGUAACACGUGAGUAACCUGCCCCAGACUCUGGGAUAACCCCGGGAAACCGGAGCUAAUACCGGAUACGACCCUUGCAGGCAUCUGUGGGGGUGGAAAGUUUUUCGGUUUGGGAUGGACUCGCGGCCUAUCAGCUUGUUGGUGAGGUAGUGGCUCACCAAGGCGACGACGGGUAGCCGGCCUGAGAGGGCGACCGGCCACACUGGGACUGAGACACGGCCCAGACUCCUACGGGAGGCAGCAGUGGGGAAUAUUGCACAAUGGGCGAAAGCCUGAUGCAGCGACGCCGCGUGAGGGAUGACGGCCUUCGGGUUGUAAACCUCUUUCAGCAGGGAAGAAGCGCAAGUGACGGUACCUGCAGAAGAAGCACCGGCUAACUACGUGCCAGCAGCCGCAGUAAAAC